UCAUACUGGCAACACUAUAGAUAAUGGACAGAGUCGUCCUUGGCAUUGCAAAUAUAAAUUUUCAACAAGAAAAUUCUGAAAAAAUUGAUGAAAGAUCCGCUAUAACUCAAUGUCAAAGAACUUCAAUAGAAAUGGAAUCGUUGAAAGCGUUGUUGGAUGAAACCGGUCAGUGGCGUGUUAAUCAUAUUAACUCUGAUAAAGCAAUGGGAAAUGUGAAUAAUACUAAAGAAUUUCAAGAAGUAAAUCAUGAAAUUACUGGCGCAGCUAAUAUCAGUUGUAGAAACGAUCGAAGGGCGAAUGCAUUUAUUGAAAGGCGGAUUUUACCCCCACGUGCCUCAAAAGAUGAGUCCGCAUUUGAUUUGUUUGAGGUGGCGGUGUAUAUUUAAAAUUCGCCUUACACCAAAUGUAAUGUUUUUAAUUGUUUUUAUUAUAUUACACCGGCGUGGUAAAGUGGAAAAUUUAUUAUGUGUACAGAGUAUUGCCGCAACAAUGAAUGAUUCGUAAUGAAUUUGCUGUUACAACUUUAUGGGAUAAAGUUUUAAGUUUCGUGACUUUGCGUACAUUUCAUAAUCGCUGGGAUUCUUUUUAUCAUUGAUUUGAAAGGUUCACAUUUCAUCGCUGUUGGAUUGGACAGCAGGUAUAUGAGCUAUAUGAGCGUAAAAAAAUGUACACGUGAUAUGUUAAGGAAUCGAAAUGUUUACUGGAGCAAUAAAGUUAUGCUAAAUGAAUGAAUAAAAAUAAUAAAUAAUAAUGUGCGCGUAUAUAUUGAAUGCAUAUUUAUAUAUAUAUAUAUAUAUAGAUACAUUUAUUUAUCUACAUACAUACAUACAGACGCUCACUUGAGUUAUGCAAUCGAAUCCAUGAAGGCCACUUACACAUAUCUAAUGACUGAUAUACGUAAGCGUGUAUGUAAUAACGAAAUACUAUCAGCUUUGCACUCGAGUUGUGGUUUUACUUUUGGUGCUGUUUUUGUUUUUGCUGUCGCCGUUACUACUACUGCUGCUGUGCUGCUAUGGUUGUUACAAUGUUUGCCGUUGUGGCUUAAGCGAUUUUGUUGCUGUUUUUUAUAAAAGUUUACACACAACGCCGUACAAUCGCAUACGCUUAAGUUUAUAGAAAAAUCUGAAACCCAAUGCUUAACUAACGGCAGACAUUGAGUGGCAGUCACACGGUUAAGACGUACUUUGCGGACUCUGGAAUUUUAAACUCUACUCUAUCAAAACAAGUUUGGUUUUC